AGUGAACGCUGGCGGUAGGCCUAACACAUGCAAGUCGAACGGCAGCACAGUAAGAGCUUGCUCUUACGGGUGGCGAGUGGCGGACGGGUGAGGAAUACAUCGGAAUCUACUUUUUCGUGGGGGAUAACGUAGGGACACUUACGCUAAUACCGCAUACGACCUACGGGUGAAAGCAGGGGAUCUUCGGACCUUGCGCGAUUGAAUGAGCCGAUGUCGGAUUAGCUAGUUGGCGGGGUAAAGGCCCACCAAGGCGACGAUCCGUAGCUGGUCUGAGAGGAUGAUCAGCCACACUGGAACUGAGACACGGUCCAGAUUCCUACGGGAGGCAGCAGUGGGGAAUAUUGGACAAUGGGCGCAAGCCUGAUCCAGCCAUACCGCGUGGGUGAAGAAGGCCUUCGGGUUGUAAAGCCCUUUUGUUGGGAAAGAAAAGCAGCAGGUUAAUACCCCGCUGUUCUGACGGUACCCAAAGAAUAAGCACCGGCUAACUUCGUG
rnacentral:rRNA from 1 species